GCGAGGGUACCCAAGUGGCUAAGGGGACCGCCUGCAGAGCGGUUAUUCGGGGGUUCGAAUCCCUCUCCUCGCU
rnacentral:tRNA from 1 species